UUCCCUGCCUGCCCUUCUUUGGAAACCUGUCCUCCUGGAAGCACCUCUCCAAUUUCACUUUGUGACUGAAGAGCACCACAGAGUCCUCUGUGUCCUUUGCCCUUCUUCUUGGCACUUGCAGGAGUAUUUCCAUUCAGACAUCCCACAUGUUCUUGGUCACUUUUAUUUAAUGUAAGUCUUUCUGCAGAAACAUUGAGGAGCUACACGCUGCAUGUGGGAACAUAGGGACCGGGGGGUGUUCAGCCCUCUGGGUUUGGGGAAGAGACAUGGGGAAGAUUAGCUGGGGAAAAGGGUAUCUAGAGAAACCUCAAUAAAACAAUGAGUUGUCAGAAGUAACGUACAUAUUAUUGCAGUGACAAUCAAAACAUUGUCAUACACCCUUCGUGACGUUAGGUGAUUUUAUAGGGAACUCUAGAGGCAAACAAUCUGAAGGGCCUGGUGGAACAGACAUGCCAAUUUCUAUCCACAAACCAUAGUAACUUUGAAAAUGUCCCAAAUUGUUUCUUAAGAUAAUGUUUCAUAUGCAGUAAACAUAAGAAAAAUCCAACCCUUGAACAUCACAGUCAAACAACAAAACACUCAAAGUCUUCUUGCAUUUUGGCCUCACUUCCAUGUCUUUAUGGUAGAGCUGGAAGUUGCUUGCCAGAUUUAAAAGAAGGAAAAAAAUAAGGAAGACCACUGUCUUGCUGCAAGUUGAAGAGUUUGAGCUCCCACAGUAAGGUUUUGAGAUUUCUGGCUGGUAUUUCUUAACUCUGUCUUUUGAAGGUUUGAUUUUUUUGUUUGUUUGUUUGUUUUGUUUUGUUUGUUAUAUAAUAAAUAUAUAAAAGUAUUAUAUAGAAAAACAUAUAAUAAUAUUUUUUUUUAUGCUGUUUGUAGUCAGAAAACUAUCUGAACAUAUGACCCUUGCCAGGCUGCAUAGGGGCACAGUUACCCAUAAAAUGCCUGUGCAAGCCCAGGACCAGAGGUGGACGAGGCUCCUGGUGUUGGUUCAUGUGGCAGCCAGCGUACUUACAGCAUCGAGGUGUAAUGCAGGUUUCAAGCCAGCUUUGAGUCUUUGACAGCCCAUGCCUGACCGAGGAAAUGAGCACUCAGGUAAGAUGAUUCUCAUUAAAAUUUAGUGAAGGUCAUUAGCUUGAUUUUGCCUUAUGAAGUUUCCCUGGGUGGCACAUUGCCCAGCGUGGUAGGACAGUGUAGGUGUGGAGUUUUAACACGUGGCUUUUGGAGGUGUGCAAAGCAGGCAAAUGGAAAAUUUGGUCCAUAUCAUAACCCUGGCUUGCUCUCCUGGUAGAACCAUUAGCACAUUAACUGAAAUGACAUUAGAGGAGGAGAUCAUGGAGUGGGAGAAGUGAGCUGAAAUCAAGCCAGAGUCAUCAGCCGGAGGUGUGAGUUUGCCAGCAGAGCAGCCUUCUUGCAGGCAGGUGCUCCUCUGGUGGGGUUCCUGCACAGAUCCCGUCUCAGCUGCACUGCUGAGGUGUUGGUGUCUCUCUGGUCCAAACACCUCUCUGCUCUGCCCUCCCCUGAGUUCCUGUAUCCUUUUCCUCCCGAUGGGAUGCACCCUGCACUGUUUUUCUCCCCCCUCGGUCCAAACCCCAGUGAAUACCUAUGCAGAGCUGUUCUCCUCUCUCCACAGGAGGACAUGGCUUGCUUUCUUUUGCUUUUUCAUUUCUUUCCCUCUCUUCACGGUCAGUUUAACCACAUACACGAAAC
rnacentral:lncRNA from 1 species